UUUUCACAGUUUUUUACUGUUUUUCUCGACAGUUUCUUACUGUAUAAGUUGUUUACAGUUUGUUACUAUAGAUUUGUUGUUUCCACAGUAUUUUAAUGUAUUUUCAACAGUUUUUUACUGCAUAAGCUUUGUACAGUAGGCUACUGUAGUUUUCCAAUGCAUUAUGGGAAAAAUUACUCUGAAUACAGUAUUACCAACCAACUGCAAAACACAAUGACAAACGUCUAUUUAUAUCUUAAAUGCUUAAUUUUUUUGUGAGAUAUUUGGUUUAAUGUCUGUUUUCACAUCAGAUGCUCGGUGUGUUCCUUUAACAUAAAUCAGGUGCCUUUUCUGAGGCUUUAAUGAAAUCACCAGCCAAUUCAAUAGACAUACCAUCAGUUCUUAAUAUUGUUGCCUCUGGGUCACAAAAAUGUAUUUUUAAGAUUAGUUUAGGCGAUAAUAUAUAUGUAUAAUCUUCAAAUAACAGUCGAUUAGUUAAAAAAGCGCUAAUUUUAGAAUUUGAUUAAACAAAUGCGGAGGGUUCAGGCGCGAGUCGGUCACGUGAUGUGCUCCUCAGUUCUGUCAGUAGGGGGAGUGGGAGAACGCGUGUGUGUCGUCGUAUCUGUUCUGAACUUCUGCUCAUCUAGCGCGUAGCCUAUUUCUUUAUUAAUAUCUGCUGGGUGAAUAUUAAUACGUAUAUGCUAACAUACGAGAUAUUGUGUCGUCGUGUUUGUCUUCACUCACUUCAUCAUUAUCUGCAAACAACUUCUGCAACUACACAAUGAUUGUCUGCUUGUGUGCAAAAUAAAGCACGUUCACUGUGUAAAACCCCGCGCAGGGCAUUUUCAAAUUAACGGUCAGGGCGAGUCUGAGCUUAUCGUGUUGUGUUGACAGAGACUUUGCUGAGGUAAGUAAGAGAAAGAAAUUAAUGUGUUAAAUAAAUAACGUUAUAAACUUGAAUUAUGUUGUGCCAGAAUACGUUGUUUAAUGAAUAUCUGUGGAAUAGGUUUAAAAUAAUACAUUAAUGACUGAACGUGAACUUGACUGAACAUUAUGGCAGCUAGAAGUAUUGAAAAGACGUAUAAUAGAUUUAACAAUGUUUUAUCUUCUUUAUUAGUGUAUGUAAAUCUGGGCUACAGUCCACGACAAAUUUUCUACGGUAGUUUUACGCCUGCAUGCUGGUCCUUUCGUCUAUCGCGGGGAUAUCAUCACUACAGCGGACAUCGCACUGAAGAGAUCCUGUGCUUGCGUGGCGGUGUGUUUGUGUGCUCACUUGGAUUGAGACCAGCAGUGCUUUUUUAAACAGUGGGUGAGUACUAACUUAUUAUUGUGUAGUUUCAUAAAAGCCUUACUCUUUUCAGUCACAUAACUUUUGUUCAUCUGCUAAUAAUAGGACUAUCCAUACACAAAGAUGUAUUGUGGAUUUAAGUAAUAUCUGCGAAUAUUUAUGUGAAAAUGUAUUAGUGUUCUGCUGACAUGAGAUCUGAAAAUGUGUUCUAGGACCUGAUAUGGAUUAAUCCAAUGAUCAACGUUUUCCUUUGUAUCCCUGUUUUGUAUACGCUGCCAUUACAUGAUGGUCAUAUGUCCCGGAUGAUCGGGAGAAGUCACGUGGUUCAAUUAUUAUUAUUUUUUUACGUGGUUCAAUUAUCUGUUAAUAAAAUUUUUUUACCAUGCAUUUAGCAUCAGGCAAAGCCUGCAAUCAAUCUAUUAAGACAGAAACAAUAUCUUACUUAUUAUUAUGUUGUUAUGACAAUAUCAUGUGAUCAUCUGAGUUAGAACAAAAUCUAUUCAUUUUCAGGUAUAACUGUGCAAGUGUCCUGAAUCAUUCUGUUGAAAUGUUAUGUGUUUAAGAUUCUUUAUGACAUCAAGAUGUGGUUUGGGAAGGACCUUCAUCUAAAUCUGAAGACAGGACAUACUGGCUCAAAAAGGUGUUUCUGAUAUGGAGAAAAACCCUGCACUGCUCAUUUUAUUUCUUCAUCUUGAGAAUACAGCAAGUUUACCUUUUGUCUGGAAAAUGAUUCAGCAAAGCUAACACCAACAACAAUUUUUCAUGGCACUUUAAACCACCUUGAUGUGAGGAGCCAGCAUCAGAAUGGAUGGUGUCAAUAUCCUGAAAGUGGAGGUAACAGAGGUGGAUCUCAAGACUUGGCCAUGUUCUAGAUUAUAACUGGAUUAUCACAAGUGCUGUCGCCCCUGCUGUAUAUGACGCCCCCACCACCUACACCAGGUGUAGGAAAUGUCGGUCCUGGAGUGCCGUUGUCCUGCAGAGUUUUGCUCCAGCUCUAAACAAACACACCUGAACAACUAGAUCUGAAGAGUCACCAGAAAACUACAGGUAGGCGAGGUUUUAUCAGGGUUGGAAAUGAAAUCUGCAGGAUUUCGGCACUCCAGGACCGACGUUGCCUACUACUGACCUACACCUUCAUCCUGCCACCACCACCCAUACUACCUACAAAAAACUGUAUUGUAAUUAUGCUUUUCACUGUAUUGUAUGAUGUGGUUUUCUCAUUUAGGGUAACUACACUAUGGCAACAAUUGGAUACAUUGAUUGCUGACUGAUUUUGUUAUUUUUUCUUUACUUUUUGUUUAAAAUCUAAUCAUUUUUUUGUUAUUUUUGUUAAUAUUGUUACAAAUAUACAGUUAAAACUGCACAAUAAAUUUUCUGCUUUUAAA